AUACCCCCAAACCACUCUGUCAAAGUGCUUAUCAGGGUUUAUAUUGUGGCAGCAUUUAACCUCAGCCCAGCUGAUCCAGAUGGGAAGUCAGAUCCCUACAUUGUGCUGAGGCUGGGCAACACAGAAAUUAAAGACAGGGAAAACUACAUCCCCAAGCAACUAAACCCUAUAUUUGGAAGAUCAUUUGAAAUCCAAGCUACAUUCCCCAAGGAUUCGUUGCUCACAGUCUUGAUCUAUGAC